rnacentral:rRNA from 1 species
AUUGAACGCUGGCGGCAUGCCUUACACAUGCAAGUCGAACGGCAGCACGGGGGCAACCCUGGUGGCGAGUGGCGAACGGGUGAGUAAUGCAUCGGAACGUGCCCAGUAGUGGGGGAUAGCUCGGCGAAAGCCGGAUUAAUAACGCAUACGACCUACGGGUGAAAGCGGGGGACCGCAAGGCCUCGCGCAAUUGGAGCGGCCGAUGUCCGAUUAGGUUGUUGGUGGGGUAAAAGCCCACCAAGCCGACGAUCGGUAGCUGUUCUGAGAGGACGACCAGCCACACUGGGACUGAGACACGGCCCAGACUCCUACGGGAGGCAGCAGUGGGGAAUUUUGGACAAUGGGCGAAAGCCUGAUCCAGCCAUGCCGCGUGCGGGAAGAAGGCCUUCGGGUUGUAAACCGCUUUUGUCAGGGAAGAAAUCUUCCGAGCUAAUACCUUGGGAGGAUGACGGUACCUGAAGAAUAAGCACCGGCUAACUACGUGCCAGCAGCCGCCGUAAUAC